GUUUGGAACAUUAAAUAUGAUAUUAAAAGCAUCUUCUGUGCAAAAACAACAUGAAUAUGAGUUUGUUAUAACUUAAAUCUUUCCAAUAACAGGUCUUUAAAGUUCAUUUUAGGCUGAAAAAAUAAUACUGAGUUAUGAAUUAAGGUGCACUGGGUUUGCAUGGCUAGGUUUUGAUAGUGGGGGAGCCACAGGGGUGGUUUCUGUGGGAAGCUGCUACAAGCUUCCCCUAUGUCCAAUAGCGCCAAUGCCAGCAGCUUCACAACAGACCUGCUGCUGGACAAGGCGGAGCCCAACAGUGAUGGUGGUAGUGCCUCUGGGAUAAUGUGUGUAGGAAGAGGGGUGGGGGAACAAAAACUUCAGCCAGAGACAGGAGUGAGAAUAUGUGAGAGAAACAGCUCUGCAGGCACCAGGACAACCUAAAUGCCACUAAUAGCCCAGUCUGGGCUGGCUCUUGGUUUUCAGAGGGGUCUGAUCAACAAGGAAUAAUGGACAUGAGCACAUGAUUGGAAGGGGAAACAUAUGGAAGAGAAAGAUAAAAUGGGAGAGACUUGGACCCACUGAGGAAUAUGCUCUACCGCACUUCCUUCUCUUUCGACACAUCAGCAACCCCAUUUAUGUCAGCAAACUGGGCU